UGUGAAAAACGCGUAGAGUUGUAAUUUUAAUUAGUGAAUUUAGCCAAAUUAAAAUGAUUGUCCCCUGAAUCAUUGUGUUACCGGAAGUGCCUUCACGAGCUUGACAGGCGGAGAAGGAGGAGAAAUGGCGGCAAGGGUUGAAAGUCCGAAGGUGAAUAUCCUUCAAACUAUUGAUUAUUUUGGCCACGUCCUCCCUCCGCUGGAUGAAUUCGGAUGGCUUUUAUUGACGACUUGGAGGCCGCCGAGAGACGCUGCUUUUGCGGGAGGACCAAACGGUCGUGCUGCACUUUUCGAAUCAUGUUUGUGCUUUUCGUUGGCGUUUAUCUGGCGUUGUUGCCGCUCUACUCCACCACUACCACCACAACCAGCCGGAAUGACAACCCCAUCAUAGGUAUCCUGGCACAGGACCUUUUCACACCGGUAGAGAAUCAAACGUCUUAUAUUGCUGCCUCUUACGUCAAGUUCCUGGAGUCAGCGGGUGCCAGGGUGGUCCCUAUUAUGAUCAACCAGACUGAUGAGGAAUAUAGGAGACUAUUCAACUCAAUUAACGGUGUUCUUUACCCUGGAGGAGCGGCCAGCAUCUUCUCAUCAGGCUACCAAAGGAGUGCAAAGUUCUUCUAUGAGAUGGCCAUUGAGGCCAAUAAGAGAGGAGAUUACUUCCCUAUUUGGGGCACCUGCCUGGGGUUCGAGCAGCUGCUGUUGCUGACCAAUGGUGUUUCACUGCUGACGGAGACGGACACAAGGGGCGUGUCCUUACCGCUCAGCUUCACUCAAGAGGCCAAAGACAGCAGAAUGUUCCAAGGUUUCCCGGCUGAACUCAUGGACGCUUUGGCGUUGGAGCCUCUGACCGAGAACUCCCACCGCUGGAGUUUGGCUGUAGAGGCGUUCAACGCAACCCAAGCACUGAAGACGUUUUAUAAAGUUCUCUCCACAAACACAGACGGAAAAACAGAUUUUUUGUCCACAAUUGAAGCGUUCCACUACCCAAUUUACGGCACCCAGUGGCACCCGGAGAAGAACGCAUUCGAGUGGAGGAAGCCGUACAUCGCUCACAGCCCCUCUGCCGUCCAGGUCACCUUCUUCAUGGCCGAGUUCUUUGUGGGAGAAGCGCCAGUCCUGCUGCUCGGGGGCUCGUCCAUCAUGCCGCACGUGAACGGUUCAGCGUAUUCCACAGUGUCACUCGUACUCCAAAGACAGAAGAUGAUGAGCGAUGGGAGGAGAUCCUCGGCUGCUCCGGAGGCAGUCUCAAGUCCAGCAUGCUGCGGUUGCAUAAUCUUGAGGACACCAUUCUUGUGCUUGGACAUGUUGACGGACUGACCGGGUCUGGGUGGGUUUUUGUACGAGGCGGGGUGUGCGGGUGCAUCGGUCAAGCUAACCUUCGUCUUCAUUCUCUUCAUCUACCUCGUCCGGGAGCCGCUCCGGGAGCCUGAAGCAUUCCUCAAAGAAGUUGACCAGCGACUGGCUGAGGUGCUGCUUGGUGCCCUCGUUGUGGAUGAAGUGGCCUUCGUCCGGGUAGAUCUGGCACGGCGACAACAGACUCUUAUCUUCACGAGGGUCGCGGGCCUGCUGGAGCCUAUCCCAGCUGUCUUCGGGCCAGAGGCGGGGGUACAAGCAUGAAUAAAUUAAAGCAGACAGGAACGGGACGUCUGGGCCUACGUGGAACAGCACCAGGACGCCAGGAUCGUAUUAUGCAGCAGGAAGUAGCUCAUGUUGUGGCAGAAGGAGCCGCCGAUGUAGCCGCAGCUCUCAGACAGGCCGCACGACAGGCAGCGGCGGUUGAACGAGCCAAAAGUGUCGGCGCUGAGGACACAAAGGCCAAAAGUUGGACCAAACCGGACCAACCGGACUCGUCUGUUGUAAAGCAAAACCAUCUUCACCAACCAUCACUAAGCUGAUCAACAGGAAAGGUUAAAAAAGAACAGAGAGUCGGCGGUUAAGGAUGCUUACCUUCAUACAGCCAAUCACUGAGCCCGUUGAAGAUGACGCCUUCCUUGCCGGAGGACACCAAGCGAAUGGAGCGGCUCUCCACGGUGGAGCGAUAGUAGAUGUUGUUCUCGAAAAUGAAGAUCUACGGAAGGAAAUCAAAGGUUAAAGAGACUUCUGGAGCAGCUAAAGUAUCAAACAAACGGUACCGAAGGAGCAAGAAAAGACUGCACGAGUGUCAUUAUCAGCAUGCAGAGGACGCAGCCUGUGGUUCCGUGCAUACACAUUUACCAUCACGGGUGGCUGACCCGGAACAGCACACCCGUCACCUUAUCACAGGUGAGAAUCGACCUUGAGGUCCAAACACACAUUAGCAUGACGCCUUUCACCUGCCUGACACAAGAGAGCAGCACACGGAUUUGAAGUCGCAGCUUUUUUUUUUUUUUUAUCUGAGCGACACCAAAAAAAAAAAAGGCUUUACUCUCAAUGUGAGAUAAGGCAGCAGACCCAGGGACCAGAUUUGGGAUCUGUUCCAUGCUGCCAGAGCUGCAGGGCCUCCCAGAUAACUGAAGGUGGACUGUUCCAUUGCAGACAAUAAUAGGCUGUGUACACUCGCAGAAUCUUGAAAAUGUCUAAAGCUGAAAUCAAUUUUAUUCGCCGACAAGAAGGGUUUACUUUGUUUACUUUUGUUAACCCAUACUCUAACCUAGGGGUCGGCAACCCGCGGCUCUUCAGCCUCCUUGUUUGGAACCCCCAAGUUGGAGUACAGUAUACAGCCUGAAUAUCAGCGCUACUUCCUGUGUGUCUACGAUUGUUCACCUCCUCCCAUUUGGGAUGGACUGCUCCAACUUUAAUCACCAUUGUUCACUAGCAAGCCAGCUAGUCAACCAGAGCCGUGGUUCCUCACAGAGACCUCAUAAGAUGCCGUCUAUUAACCCUAACCCUGAAAAACUGCUAACUGAUUUCCAGAAAACCAUCCAAGGAGUUUCCUCUCAAUUGAACAACCUUUGUCAUCAUUUGGAGCUGAAGAAAGCGUGCAGUCUUCGUGAUGAACGCCGCUCAUCUAACCCUUGUGGUUCUGCGCCACACUCCGCCCAGAGCGGGAGAAUGACUUACAAACUUCUUAUGAUGCACCAAGAUGGUCUUCUCGUCGGUGUCGACGUUGAACCACACCACAUCGCCGUCACGGCUACGGCACAAAUAAGACAAAUUGGCGGUUUUUCCAGUGCGAUGCGAAAGCUAUUAUUGCGAGCCACCGGAAAUGGCAGCCGGGUGGCAAAACAUGCAUAAAAAUCCAAGAGGGAAGCCUGGUAUGGACUAGUGAGGAAAGGCAGACGUCCACAUAUUCACCAAGCAAGCCAACCGGCCGCUAACAAGGAAGUUUGACAACAGCAUGACAAGACGGCACCAAGCGGAAAAUGUUGUAGAAGACCAGGGCGAACAAGGCUUCACAGUACCCGAUGCUACGGAAGACGCCUCAUGAGAUGAAAGCCGGAAGACGUGUCGGCGAGAUGUGUCAUCUUGUGGGUGAGGCAACGUCUCUUCAGACGUCUUUAAAGUCUGAAGAUGAGACGGACAAAACAUCUCAGCUGAUUCAGACCCCACUGCCACCACGAGAAGCCCCCACCCCGUCCAGCGGCAAGACCAGAGCCCCCAAGGUCAACAGCGUGAGGGUCAGCCAGGACGAUGGUGUGCAAGCAGGCCAAGUCACACCGACUCUGCAAAGUUAGCGUGGCGAUCUUCCGUCAACACCAAAGUACCCGCGACGGUGCGUCAAUACCUGGUGAAGAAAACGAGGUUUUUGCUCGAUAGCGUCCGCCAGUUACUCCAGGGGGGGAACGUGUCGAUCGUGCUUUGUCAGUUCAUCAGCCGAUAACGCCACGGAAGCGGCGGUGAAUCCUUAAUUAAAGCGUUAUCCGCUGGGAAUGAUGACAGUUAUCAUUUCAUGAGGAAGCAAGCAGAGAAGCAGACAGAAAUGCACUAUGGAUUUUUCCACGCGUUACACUGCGGGCCAUUGUU